AGCAGUGUUGCUUAGUGGAAAGAGCCUGGGCUUGGGAGUCAGAAGAUGUGGGCUCUAAUCCCGCCUCCGCCA
rnacentral:tRNA from 1 species